AGGGCGGGACUUGUGGCGUCUUCGCAGCGGUCAUUUUGGCUGCCCUCCCGGAGGUCCGUUCUGUCUGUCAGCCGCUUUGGUACGCUGCAUCGGGAUCGAAGUGACGGACCGUGAAGGCGCGAGAGUCAGGUCUGAGGGUCGGGGGCAGAGCCGCCCGCGAGGCCGGCCUGGGGAUAGCGAUGCUCGGGUUCCCCCCGGGUCGCCCGCAGCUCCCGGUCCAGCUCCGCCCACAGACUCGGAUGGCGACCGCACUGAGGGACCCGGCUUCGGGCCGUGGGAGCCAUAGAGAGCUUGCGCAAACGAGAGACACCAUCUGAGUUAAAUUUGAAAAAUCCUCUGCAGGCUGUUCAGUGGAAGAAAAGACUUUAGAGAUGGAUGAGGACGUUGAGGCAGAGGGAGGUUGAAUAUUUUUCCAAGGCCACACAACUGGUGAGAGGCAGCACUAAGGACCGAGGCGCACAGGUUAGACAGUCGACCCAAAGUUACGUGGCUCUGGGCCGGGGCAAGGGUACAGGGAAGGCCUGUGCCCAUGGAGCACUGCCAUGAUCACAUUCCUCUGAGGCCUGCGUCUUUCCACAGGUUCCCAUAGCUACAGAGGUGCUUUUCAAACUUACACAGAUUUGUGGUGUCAUGGGACUCACCUACCAUUCUCUCAGCGUUUGGUUUGGGAACCCUGGAGAAUCCCUGAGCUAAGGGCCCUGAGUCCAGGCCAAUGUUUCCAUUUGGAGCAGCCAAUGGAAAGAUGGGUGAAAAUUUAUGAUAGAAACAGGUAGGUACCAGCUUUUGGAACUCCUUGGAGGUGAGGCUGAGCUGGUUCAGGGAACUGCAGGUUUCCUUUAUUUCUGUGAAGUUUGGCAUCUAUUGUGAGGAAGUUGGAGUUUGG
rnacentral:lncRNA from 10 species